GUGGUCCAUGGCAGAAAAAGAAAGAGGGGCCGUCCAUGAGUUGGGCACCCCUUGUCUUGCCUUGUUUGGAUUUUUCUUGACUAGGUAUUUGAUCUAGACAAGGAUUCUUCAUAUCUCAUUAUUUAGAAUAAAUUUUUUUUAAAAUUUUUUUAAACUAUAGAGCAUUGAGAGGCCUUUGGGGCAUGUGAAAAAUCAGGGAGAAAGAGUGUAGGGGCGUGGAGAUAUAAUAG
rnacentral:lncRNA from 1 species